rnacentral:rRNA from 1 species
AUUGAACGCUGGCGGCAUGCCUUACACAUGCAAGUCGAACGGCAGCACGGGUGCUUGCACCUGGUGGCGAGUGGCGAACGGGUGAGUAAUACAUCGGAACGUACCUUAUCGUGGGGGAUAACGCAGCGAAAGCUGUGCUAAUACCGCAUACGCCCUGAGGGGGAAAGCGGGGGAUCGCAAGACCUCGCGCGAUUAGAGCGGCCGAUGCCUGAUGAGCUUGUUGGUGGGAUAAAAGCCCACCAAGGCGACGAUCAGUAGCGGGUCUGAGAGGACGAUCAGCCACACUGGGACUGAGACACGGCCCAGACUCCUACGGGAAGCAGCAGUGGGGAAUUUUGGACAAUGGGGGCAACCCUGAUCCAGCAAUGCCGCGUGAGUGAAGAAGGCCUUCGGGUUGUAAAGCUCUUUUGUCAGGGAAGAAACACCGGCUCUAACACAGUCCGGGAAUGACGGUACCUGAAGAAUAAGCACCGGCUAACUACGUGCCAGCAGCCGCGGUAA